UUGCAACACAGAGAGCCACCGAUCGACCGAAUGUGAUUCAAUCUUGACAUUAGACGAAAGAAAGAAACUGUUGGCAACGACGAAACUGUGUUUCAACUGCACAGUGUUACGUUCGCGGGCGAGAACGAACAAAAAUGUAUGUCUACAUCUUUAUCAUCUUUACGCUCGUUGCCCUCCUUGACCAGACACAGCGACACGCGCUGGCCAAGGAGGCUUUCUUGUAUUUGGAAUAUCCUUAUCCAACAAUAUAAAUUUAUU